UUCAGGACCACAUACGAAAGUGACCCAGAUCGGAUUUAAAACUAUCGAACUUGUACAGUUGACACUGUCAUAGCAUGACCGGAUAUGGGUCAGAAAAGUCGGAUUUGAUGCGCUUUCGCCUGCAGUGUGAACGUAGCCUUUGAUUGAAUUACAGUGGGAUGGAAGUCGAGGACAAGGAGAAGGAAGCUUAGGACGAGGAGGAAGAAAAGCAGCAGGAGCAUCUUUAGUGAUCUCUAUGAUGUCAUUGGGAGGCGGCGAGAGGCAGGACCUCGGCUCAUCCAGCUGGAGAGCCUGACCAGGAGGAGUCGAACAGGGGCACCCUGCAGACUCGGCUGCUGGCAUUGGCGAGGGAGUGCGGCCGCCACUGGGAUGACGUCAUCCCACGUCACAGGUCGACUGCAGCUCUUUGUCUCAGUAGGAGCACAGAGGGAGGAGCUUGUCGUUUGGUUGGCUGAUAUGGAUGUCCACCUGAGUGAGGUUGACCUGCUGACAGGAAACACCUGUGAAAAACUGAAACAACUGCAGGUGUUAUUAAUACAUGAACCGUCACCUGUGAGAGGAGCUGGAAAAACCCGUGUGAGUCACAGAAGCACCACCUUCGACUUUGAGGACAACAAACAGGGAUCAUCAUCAUCGCUGUGCUCUAAACAAUGGCAUAUUCAUGAAUGAUUCCUCUUCCUGAAAUGCAUUUCUUCAUCCUACUUAUUUACAGUUACUGUUCUUACAGUUCAUUGAAAAAGAAUUUGCCUGUGGUGUGAAAACCAUCUGCAGAGGUGAAAAGC